rnacentral:tRNA from 1 species
UAAGACCUGCAGGACAUUAACCCACAUUUUCUGAAUGCAACUCAAAAUUUUUAAUUAAAAUAAAGUCU